rnacentral:rRNA from 1 species
UACAGGGGGGGCAAGCGUUGUUCGGAAUUACUGGGCGUAAAGGGCCAGUAGGCGGCCAACUAAGUCACACGUGAAAUCCCCAGGCUUAACCUGGGAACUGCGUCUGAUACUGGAUGGCUUGAGUGUGGGAGAGGGAUGCGGAAUUCCAGGUGUAGCGGUGAAAUGCGUAGAUAUCUGGAGGAACACCGGUGGCGAAGGCGGCAUCCUGGACCAUUACUGACGCUGAGUGAGCGAAAGCCAGGGGAGCAAACGGG